rnacentral:rRNA from 1 species
UACGUAGGGUGCAAGCAUUGUCCGGAAUUAUUGGGCGUAAAGAGCUCGUAGGCGGCUUGUUGCGUCGGAUGUGAAAGCCCGGGGCUUAACCCCGGGUCGGCAUUCGAUACGGGCAGGCUGGAGUUCGGUAGGGGAGAUCGGAAUUCCUGGUGUAGCGGUGAAAUGCGCAGAUAUCAGGAGGAACACCGGUGGCGAAGGCGGAUCUCUGGGCCGAUACUGACGCUGAGGAGCGAAAGCGUGGGGAGCGGACAGG